rnacentral:rRNA from 1 species
UACGGAGGGAGCAAGCGUUACUCGGAAUUAUUGGGCGUAAAGGGCGCGUAGGCGAUUCGACAAGUCAACUGUGAAAGCCCAGGGCCUAACCCUGGAAGUGCAGCUGAUACUGUUGAAUUUGAGUUCCGGAGAGGAAGGCAGAAUUCCCGGUGUAGCGGUGAAAUGCGUAGAUAUCGGGAGGAAUACCAGUGGCGAAGGCGGCCUUCUGGACGGAUACUGACGCUGAGGCGCGAAAGCUAGGGGAGCAAACGGG